rnacentral:rRNA from 1 species
AUUGAACGCUGGCGGCAUGCCUUACACAUGCAAGUCGAACGGUAACAGGGAGCUUGCUCCGCUGACGAGUGGCGAACGGGUGAGUAAUGCGUCGGAACGUGCCGAGUAGUGGGGGAUAACGCAUCGAAAGGUGUGCUAAUACCGCAUACGGACUGAGGUUGAAAGUGGGGGACCUUCGGGCCUCACGCUAUUCGAGCGGCCGACGUCUGAUUAGCUAGUUGGUGAGAUAAAGGCUCACCAAGGCGACGAUCAGUAGCGGGUCUGAGAGGAUGAUCCGCCACACUGGGACUGAGACACGGCCCAGACUCCUACGGGAGGCAGCAGUGGGGAACUUUGGACAAUGGGCGCAAGCCUGAUCCAGCCAUGCCGCGUGUCUGAAGAAGGCCUUCGGGUUGUAAAGGACUUUUGUCCGGGAGCAAAUGCUGGUGGCUAACAUCCACCGGAGCUGAGAGUACCGGAAGAAUAAGCACCGGCUAACUACGUGCCAGCCGCCGCCGUAAAAC